rnacentral:rRNA from 1 species
ACGCGAAGAACCUUACCUACUCUUGACAUCCAGAGAACUUUCCAGAGAUGGAUUGGUGCCUUCGGGAACUCUGAGACAGGUGCUGCAUGGCUGUCGUCAGCUCGUGUUGUGAAAUGUUGGGUUAAGUCCCGCAACGAGCGCAACCCUUAUCCUUUGUUGCCAGCGGUUAGGCCGGGAACUCAAAGGAGACUGCCAGUGAUAAACUGGAGGAAGGUGGGGAUGACGUCAAGUCAUCAUGGCCCUUACGAGUAGGGCUACACACGUGCUACAAUGGCGCAUACAAAGAGAAGCGACCUCGCGAGAGCAAGCGGACCUCAUAAAGUGCGUCGUAGUCCGGAUUGGAGUCUGCAACUCGACUCCAUGAAGUCGGAAUCG